rnacentral:lncRNA from 1 species
UGGAAUCACCAAGGACCAAGAAAGAGGUUCAAAAGUUGACAGGCAGGGUAGCCGCCUUAAAUAGGUUCAUGUCCCGAGCAUCAGACAAGUGCUUCCCUUUCUUCAAAGCCCUCAGGGGUAACCAUUACUUUGAAUGGAAUGAGGAGUGUGAGAAGGCUUUUCAAGAGCUCAAGCAGACAUUGGAAUCUCCUCCUAUCCUCACCAAACCCGAGCCCGGAGAUACUCUGUAUUUGUACUUAGUCGUAUCUCAGAAUGUAAUGAGUGGUGUCUUGGUAAAAGAGGUUAACAAGGGCCAGCAACCCAUUUAUUACAUAAGCAAAGUCCUACUUGAUGCAGAAACAAGAUACACUUUGGCAGAGCAACUUGCCCUUGCACUGAUAGUAGUAGCACAAAAACUUCGGCAAUAUUUUCAGUCACAUCCUAUUGUUGUGCUUACCAAUCAGCCUCUGAAACACAUUCUUCAGAAACCAGACGUCUCAGGAAGAUUACUAAGGUGGGCAAUUGAACUCGGAGAAUUUGACAUAGAGUUCAAGCCCCGUCCAUCUAUCAAAGCUUAGGCCUUAGCUGACUUCAUUGCAGAACUCACUCUAUGGCCUCGGGGGCCAGAUAGUAGCUCGAGCUCGAGCAUAACUGCGUGGGAAAUUUUUGUAGAUAGAGCAUCGAACUCCUUGGGCUCGGGUGUAGGGGUCAUAAUCAUAAGUCCGAACAUGCUCAUAAACAUUCAGUGUGCACUAAGGUUCGAAUUUGAGGUGACCAAUAAUGAAGCUGAGAAUGAGGCCGUCAUCAUAGCUAUGGAACUCGCCAUAAAUCUCGAGCUUGAAAAUAUCAAAAUUUGUAGUGAUUUCCAGUUGGUGGUUGAGCAAAUCGAACGGACGUUCGAUAGAAAGGAUGAGAAGAUGAGCUUAUACUGCUUGAAAGUGUAUGAUCUCUAGAGAAAGUUCAAGAGUUGUGAAAUUGUAAAAAUUUCUCGGGUUGAGAAUUGUAGGGCAGAUGUCUUGUCAAGAUUGGUGUUCAUGGGAUUAGAGGGGCUUGACAGGACAGUCCACGUCAGAAUUGUAACCGAGCCAAGCAUCAAUCAGACUGUAGACGUCAUGGAUAUUGAUAAUGAGACAUCAUGGAUGGACCCAAUAGUGGACUUUAUAAAACAUGGCAGUCUUCCAACAGAUCCUCGGGCAGCGAGAAGCAUCCGGUCCAAAGCUCCGAGGUAUUGCAUGAUUGAAGGUAUUUUAUUUCGCAGGAGCCUCACACUUCCGUACCUCAGAUGCCUUAGGCCUUCCGAAUCAUCCCAGGCCCUAGAAGAAGUUCAUGAAGGUGUAUUUGGGAACCAUCAAGGAGAACGGGAUUUAGCCUUCAAGCUCAUAAGGUAUUGAUAUUAUUGGCCAACCAUGAAGAAAGACGCCCAGGAAUAUGUCAAGAAGUGUGACAAGUGCCAAAGAUCUGGCAAUGUCAUCCACCCUCCCGCAGAAGACCUCACUAGCAUUACUUGCACAGCCCCAUUUGAGUAGUGGGGAAUUGACAUCCUUGGUCCCUUUCCAAUAAGUAGGGGACAAUUGAAGUUUGUGGCUGUGGCUGUAGAGUUUUUCACUAAGUGGGUAGAGGCCGAGCCUUUAGCAACAAUUUCAGAGCCGAAGUUAAGAAGUUUCAUUUGGAGAUCCAUCAUAUGUAGGUUCGGGAUAUCGAAAGACCUCAUAACUGAUAAUGGCAGGCAAUUUGACAAUGCACAAUUUAAAAACUUUUAUACCGACCUAGGGGUUGAUCACCGUUUGACAUCGGUUUCCCAUCCUCAAAGUAAUGGUCUCGUCGAAGUGACCAAUCGGAUUAUAUUGCAAGACCUCCGUACAAGGAUCGGUGAUGCAAGAGGUUCCUGGUCUGACGAGUUGCCUUUCAUACUUUGGACGUAUAGAACGUCACACAAAACUGCUACAGGGGAAACCCCCUUCAUGUUGGCUUUUGGAAUUGAGGCCACCAUCCCUGUUGAAGUCAGGUUGCCCAGCCAAAGGAGGCUCGAGCCCGAAGAUGCAGGGCGCACAACUGAACACCUCGACCUCUUGGAAGAAGUUCAGGAUCGGGCAGCUUUAAAAAUGGCUUCCUACCAGUAUAAAAUAGCAAAGUACUUCAAUAAAAAAGUAAGGACGCGGAGAUUUAGAGCCGGAGACCUUGUGUUAAGAAGGGCUAAAGUAACAGGUCAUGCCCCGGGCAAGCUAGGACCAGUUUGGGAAGGGCCCUUCGAAGUCAUACGACAACUCCAAGGAGGCGCAUACAGUUUAAGGGAUACGUCAGGAAGGUCGCUUCCAAGACCAUGCAACGCCGAGAAUUUAAAGAUAUAUUACAAGUAACUUGGUCUUCCAGUUAUUUGUAGUCAGGCCUGCGCAUCAAGGUUCACGUUUUCAAUUGUCAGGCCUGCGUGCCAAGUUUUAUUUUUCGAUAGUCAGGCCUGCAUGCCAAGGUUCACGUUUUUAGUUGUCAGGCCUGCGUGCCAAGUCUGUUUUUAAAGUAUAAUCAGAAUUAAGCAAUUCGUCAAAAUAUGAUCUAGCUACAAAAAGCCUUGCCUCGUACAAGCAACUCAAGCCUUACCCUGCGCAAGCAAUCAAAAAAGCCUUGCUUCGCGCAAGCAACUAAAGCUUUGCCCCGCGCAAGCAAUCAAAAAAGCCUUGCCCCGCGCGAGCAACUCAAGCCUUACCCCGCGCAAGCAAUCAACAAGUCUUGUCCCGCGCAAGCACGUCAAGUAACAGUCCCGAUCACACAGUGCCCGAUCAAUGGUAUGAGAG